AGCAGCCGCGGUAAUUCCAGCUCCAAUAGCGUAUAUUAAAGUUGUUGCAGUUAAAAAGCUCGUAGUUGAAUUUCAGGCCUGGCUGGACGGUCCGCCCUUCGGGUGAGUACUGUCUGUGGUCGGGUCCUACCUUCUGGCGAAGCGUCAUGGCCUUAACCGGCCGUGGCGGGGAACCAGGACUUUUACUGUGAAAAAAUUAGAGUGUUCAAAGCAGGCAAUCGCUUGGAUACAUUAGCAUGGAAUAAUGGAAUAGGACAAUGGUUCUAUUUGUUGGUUUCUAGGACCGUUGUAAUGAUUAAUAGGGAUAGUUGGGGGCAUUAGUAUUCAAUUGUCAGAGGUGAAGUUCUUGGAUUUAUUGAAGACUAACUACUGCGAAAGCAUUUGCCAAGGAUGUUUUCAUUAAUCAAGAACGAAAGUUAGGGGAUCGAAGACGAUCAGAUACCGUCGUAGUCUUAACCAUAAACUAUGCCGACUAGGAAUCGGGCGAUGUUGACAAAAUGACGC
rnacentral:rRNA from 1 species